rnacentral:lncRNA from 1 species
CGAGAUCGACAUUCACACAGUGCGCGACAAAAUCAUGGAGAAAAACUUGAAAAUAGACAGAGUAGGCUCGAGAAUGAAUGUAGCCGAUAUAUUCACAAAACCAGUAACAGGGACACUAUACAAAACACUACUGAUGCAACUCGGAAUGAAAAACAUACAUCAAGGAAGAGGAGAAAACAAAAUGCAAGAAGGAGAAGGAAGAGAAACAAACCUAUGAAACGAAGCGUCUCCCGCCAAACCCAAACCCUAGUGCCACCAAUCAAAAGGAAAAACCCCACAAACACACCCUUUUAUAGAACACAAUAAACCCAAUAUCCACACAUCCAUAUCCGAUUACCCAUAUACCCAAAUACUCAAAUACACAAAUUACCCAUAUACACCAUAACCCAUAAACCAAAUACCUAUAAUACCAAAUACCUAUACUAUUUUUUUUAUCAAACACCUAUACUAUCCGAAUAUAAGCCCAUAACCCAAUAUUAGCCCAAAUCCUAGUAGUUUAUGGCCUUAUUUUCGAGGGGGACUAUUAGAAUACUAGAAUUAUUGUGAAAAUAUCAUACAAGUCCCUACAAA